rnacentral:sRNA from 1 species
AGAUCCAAACAUUUCGUGACAGUACAUAACCUUGUGUGCAGUUGAGAGGCAUGCAAUGUAACCCUGGAAGCAAUGCCUGUCGGCCGGUCCUACUUGUACGUAAUCCUGCACAAUUGGAUUAGGCUAGUAUAGAUUGGAUUGAUUAGUUUUGUGUAGUAGUGGAGUAGUAACACUUUUAGUGGCCUCGGGAAUUGUGCAAACAAAACACCGGUGCAGCCUUUCUCGCGUAGCAGCCAUGAUUAACUUCUUUGUUUAAGCAGCGGGGUGCAGUGCACAUCAUACGUCUCCCAUUCCCAGAGACAUGCACGCCAAUGCUUUCC